rnacentral:rRNA from 1 species
UACGGAGGGUGCAAGCGUUAUUCGGAAUUACUGGGCGUAAAGCGUGCGCAGGCGGUUUGUUAAGUCCGCUGUGAAAUCCCCGAGCUCAACUUGGGAAUUGCAGUGGAUACUGGCAAGCUGGAGUAUGGUAGAGGAAGGUGGAAUUCCCGGUGUAGCAGUGAAAUGCGUAGAGAUCGGGAGGAACACCAGUGGCGAAGGCGGCCUUCUGGACCAAUACUGACGCUCAUGCGCGAAAGCGUGGGGAGCAAACAGG